rnacentral:rRNA from 1 species
UGGGGAAUUUUCCGCAAUGGGCGAAAGCCUGACGGAGCAAUACCGCGUGAGGGAGGAAUGCCUUUGGGUUGUAAACCUCUUUUCUCAGGGAAGAAGAUCUGACGGUACCUGAGGAAUAAGUAUCGGCUAACUCCGUGCCAGCAGCCGCGGUAAUACGGAGGAUGCAAGCGUUAUCCGGAAUCAUUGGGCGUAAAGCGUCCGCAGGUGGUUUCCAAAGUCUGCUGUUAAAGACUGGAGCUCAACUCCGGAGCGGCGGUGGAAACUUGGAAACUAGAGUUCGGUAGGGGUAGCAGGAAUUCCCAGUGUAGCGGUGAAAUGCGUAGAUAUUGGGAAGAACAUCAGUGGCGAAGGCGUGCUACUGGACCGUAACUGACACUCAGGGACGAAAGCUAGGGGAGCGAAAGGGAUUAGAUACCCCUGUAGUCCUAGCUGUAAACGAUGGAAACUAGGUGUGGCUUGA